rnacentral:snRNA from 1 species
GUGCUCGCUUAGGCAGCACAUAUACUAAAA